AUGGGCGGAACGGCUGCUAGCGUGUGCGGGCAGAGAGAUCCUUAUAAAAUCAGUUAUCCAGGCCAUCCCUACCUUCAGCAUGAGCUGCUUCCUGUUGACGAAGAAGGUUUGCAAGAAGUUGACGUCUUGCAUGCAAAAUUCUGGUGGAGUGGUUCCCUUGACAGACGAUCUUUGCACUGGAUAUCAUGGGACAGUCUCGCAUCCCCAAAGGUUAACGGUGGCAUGGAUUUCCGAGACCUACCAUUGUUUAACUUGGCACUGCUAGGGAAGCAUGGGUGGAGAUUCAUUACAAAUCCGGGCUCCCUAUGCAACCGUGUUAUGAAGGGUCGCUAUUUUCCUGAUGGAGAGUUCAUGGAUGCAGUGGUACCAUGUUCGUCGUCAGCUGUAUGGCGGGCCAUUAUUGCUGGUCGUGAAGCUCUCCAGGAAGGACUUGUGAAGCGUGUGGGGACGGGCUCUACCAUCUCCAUAUGGGCAGACAAGUGGAUCCCGGGACUGUCAACUCUUCAACCGACCGUUAUACCAGGGGGCACUACGUUGUCCUGGGUAAGUGAACUUAUAGAUGAAGAGAACUGGACAUGGAAGAGGGAGUUGAUUCGGGAUGUGUUUACUCCCCCGGAAGCGGAAGCGAUACUAAAUAUUCCACUUCGUCACGGCGGAGGGGAGGAUUUUCUUGCUUGGGCUCAUGAAGUUAAUGGCAACUACUCUGUCAAAUCUGCGUACCGUGCUCUCGUGACUCGCAAAGAGCAUGCAGCUCUAGAGGAAGGGGCGGCUACAAGUACUUCAUAG
rnacentral:rRNA from 1 species